rnacentral:misc_RNA from 1 species
GUGAAUCAUCAAAUUUUUGAACGCAAAUUGCACUCUCCGCGGAGAGUAUGCCCGUUUGAGGGUCAGCCUAUAAAAAAUCGACAUCGCUGCUGUUUCACGGUGGCGUUCGUCGGCAAUUGGGUCAUCGUAAAUCUUUUGGUUUUAAGCGACUUAAACUUUUCUUUUUGGUUCUAUGAACGUCUCUAAGAUUUAUUUCUGUACACGUUUAUGGUAUCGAUU